UCAGAAAAGUGAAGAAAAAGGGUGAAGAGAUCUUUCUCUUCCAUGUGGGCAGGGGCAAGAAACAAAGAAGAAGAGGAAGAGGAGAGGACUUCUUGACUCUUCAACAGAGAGGAACGAGAGAGGCUCUUCUCAUGAUCAUUCAAGGUCGGUUCGGCCGAUCGUGGCAAGUGGGAGAUGCGGUUAGAAAAAAGGAAGAAAGAGAAGGUUUCGAUUGUGGCAAGUGGGAGAAAACGGUUACACUUGCUCUCUCUCGCCCGCCGUUUUCAAUAGAAGGAGUUGAGAAGAAGCUUCGAGAACAAGGAGAGCUAUAAAAGGGAGCGUCUCUUCAAGAGAGUUUCUUCGGUUUUGGGGAGAAAUUCUGGGGAGAAAUUUUCGGAGAGAACGGAGUGUUAAGGGUUUCAGAGGGACUUACAGAGAGUAGAGGGAAAAUCGGGAAGAGCGAUAAGGAUUUGAGAAGGAUUUUUCUUCUUCUCUUCUUUUGGUUUCGAUUGCAUUGAAGGAGAAGGCGCUGAUCUCAGAGAGGAUCGGUUUCGGAUCUUCAUCGAGACGAAAUCCCUGAUGAAAGCUCCCAUCGAGUCUUGACACCGUCGGAUUUCUUCGGCCGAGCCAUCGGAAGCUGAUUCCAAGGAGGAGGAGUAGAGAUCGUCUGGCCGGAAGAGCUCUUGACUCUCAUACGCACACGGCGCGGUUCUCCCUCUGGUUCGGCUACUCUUCAUCACCUGUGACCAGAUGACGAUGCAGGUGCGGUAGUGCCGAUGGCCAGUGACGUUUCUUCCUCCAUGCCCAAGUACGGAGCUAGUGACUGUGAACACUAGAGAUUGAGGAACACGACCCUAACUGUGCUUGUGACACAUGCAUACGUAGCACCGUGAGUCGGGUGGUCAUAUACUAUUAUUUGAUAUCGUACUGUUGGGUGGUAUUCUUGUGGAGUUACAUGUAUGUCAUGAACGGAUGUGAACGGAUCAAUUCUUGUUAUGUAAUACUAACAUCAGAUAUUAACCCUGCUAAUUUUAUGAUUCCACUAUAUUAUACUCUAAUUCUGCUGCAA